AUGGUGAACAAGGGCAAGGUCAUCUCACUUCCUUGUCAUGCAAUCAUCCAUGUUGUCCAUCCCCAAAGGCCACUACUCCGAAGUCGACAUACAGACAAGCCCAUAGUGCCACCUUACGGGACACCGCCGCCACCACCUUAUGUGAUGUAUCCACCUGGAACAGUAUAUGCCCACCCCUCUACACCUCCUGCCAUGCAUCCAUUUGGCCAUUAUCCUAUGCCAACAAAUGGGCAUGCUGAAACUCAUGGAGCUGCGCCAAGCGCUCCGGAAAUGAAUGGGAAAAGCGAGCCUGGCAGAACGUCUGCUCCAUCCGCCAACGGGAUUACCUCGCACAGGUUUUUAUUUCUUGGUGUGCAAGUUACAGAUUUUCUGUAAUUCAUCCACAACCUAAU